rnacentral:lncRNA from 1 species
GUUUCACCAUGUUGGCCAGGCUGGUCUCGAACUCCUGAUCUCAAUCCACCUGCCUUGGGCUCCCAAAGGGGUGGGAUUACAGGCGUGAGCCACUGCACCAGGCCUCAACUUUUUUUUUUAACUUGAGAGAAUAAACCUUUCUAGAGAUACACUUCCAUCACUAGCAGCUGAACAUUAUGUUAUCAUUACUGACAGAGCAUUUGGGAAUUAUUAGAAACAAUAAUGCAAUGGACUUUCUUGGACCUGUGUUACUAUGAAGCUGUGUAGGAGCUCCUACAGCGCAUGGUGACACAGUAAGAAAUAUAUAUUUGGUCUUCCUAUGGUUCCUGACACAGAGCUUCUAAAAUCCUUGCAAUUUCCUGAGUGAUAGCGGUAGUGGAGCUUCUUUCGUUAUUUAUGACAAACUUCUUUCAACCAUACCUGAGUUCAUGCUAAUAAGGUGACUCUUGGUGGGCCCCUAGAUAGCUUCAGGAUGGGGGCUGGUCGUCAGAAGAGCCAACCCUGUGAUUAGAGGGUGGGAACUUUCAGCCUCACUCCCCCAGCCCCCCACUCACCUUGAGAGGGGAGAGGGACUGGAGAUUGAGCUAAUCAUCGAUAGCCAAAGAUUUACCUAUCAUGCACAUGUAAUGGGACCUCCAUAAAAACCCUAAAGGAUGAUGUUCAGAGAGCUUCUGGGUAGAUGGACACAUGGAGGUGCUGGGAGGAUGGUGGGCCUAGAAGAGGGCUGGAAGCUCCACGCCGCUCCCCAUACCCCACCCUCGGCACCUCUUCCACUUGGCUAUUUCUGAGUCUUAUCCAUUUUUUUUUUUUCCAGACAGGGCUUCACUCUGUUGCCCAGGCUUUAGUGCAGUGGCAUAAUCAUAACUCACUGCAGCCUCUGCCACUCAAGCUCAAGUGAUCCUCCCACCUCAGCCUCCCAAGUAGCUGGGACCACAGUCCCACACCACCAUGCCCAGAGACUCCCAGCUUUGGUGUCCUUAAGAAAGGGACUUACUGACUUCAUGCAUCUUUCAAGCAAAGAUUAACAACAAUGAUAAUAGAGUAAUAAGUUGGCCUGGAAUCUUGGCAAAACUGAAAACCACAUGUUCUGAGAGUCUCUUCCUGCGCUGGUAAUUAAGUUUCUUCCCCCUACAAAAUGAGACUCUUUUGGACCAACAGGCGUUAGGCAUGUGGACAUCUUGAUGGGAUCCCAUCUUCUCUUUUGAGGAUCAAAUCCUGGCCAACUUUGUUUGAUGUUCAGAGCCCUGUAUGGGAGUCAAAGCCUGCUAAUAAAGCAGUCGUGCCUGUUUGGAGUCAUUCUACAGCUCAGGACUUCAUCCCAGGAGGGAGGUGUAGUGGGUGACUCACUAACUGUAAUAUAAACAACGACAACAAAAGGGUCUCUGAGUCACACUGACAUUGUGGAAUCAAACAUAUAUCUCUGUGCCCUGACCCCCACCAAGGAUGCAGUCACACGGAUGUCCAGUUAUCUUCUAAUCAAUGCCCAGUCCAGAUGGUCACCACCCACCUCUGCAGCAAAAGUCACUGCGCAUUUGGAUAUCUACACAGCUUGUUUGUAACUGAGUUAGUGCAGCCUAGUAAGGUACAGAUGUUUUCCUUUUAAUCCUGUUUGUACUUUGAAAUGGUCACACUCGAUGUCAUUUGGCUGCAGGAAGCUCCUCCAGGAAUGAUCCCGCAAGAGAAAUGGGAUGUGCGUGGCACCAUCUGAUUCGGGGCAGCUCUGUCACUCCCUGCAGAACUGAGCACACUGAAUUUAUUUGAAUAGAACAGGUUAUGAGGGUGAGGAUAAACAUAUCAAUACCUCAUUUUUUUUUUGAACGCCGACUCUAUGAUCGGAUUACCUGGCCCUUCAAGGUAAGUUUAUGACUGUGCUUAAAGGGCUUUGAGGUAACCACUUCUCCACCAGGAUUUGCGAGGAGCCUUCCUGGCUUCCCGAGAGAAGUGGCUCGUCUUAGAAUUCGAGAGCUCAGACUGACAGCAAACAGCCUGGAUCUGCCAGUCUUCAGCUGCGUGACUCUGUGCAAAUCGCUUUUCCUCUCUGGGCUGUUUCUCCAUUGGUAAAAAAGGAGCACUUCUGAGGCUGGGCGCGGUGGCUCACGGCCUGUAAUCCCAGCACUUUGGGAGGCCGACGUGGGCGGAUCACUUGAGGUCAGGAGUUCGAGACAGGUUUGGCCAACAUGGUGAAACCCCGUCUCUACUCAAAAUACAAAAAAAAUUAGCUGGGCGUGGUGGUGCAUGUCUGUAGUCCCAGCUACUAGGGAGGCUGAGGCAGGAGAAUAGCUGGAACUUGGGAGGCGGAGCUGAGAUUGUGCCACUGCAUUCCAGCCUGAGCAAGAAAGCGAGACUCCGUCUCAGGAAAAAAAAAAGGAGCACUUUUUGACCCAUGUCAUAGGGGUGUUGCAAAGAUUGAGGGAGACAUUGCCCAGGGUAGGCAGAGGACCUGAGUCAGCGGUACAUGCUGUUACUGUUCUAUUGCAUUGGUGUGCCUUGGCCUUUUGUUCCUCACUUUAGGCCCUUGAUCUUGAGCCAGUGCAAUGGCAGAGCCUUGUCAUGACACAAAGCAUGUGUGUGUUUCUCCUCUGUCCACUAAAACGUCCAUGUGGCUCCCUCCUUCAGAACAGGGAAGAAAGGCUGCUGUGAAAUGUGACACUGUCCUGUUGCCUAUGCCAUUAUGAUGCUGUGGGGCAAACACUGGAUCAGCUCCAUAGGGUGAGGGCUGUCCAUAAAUAAACAGGACCUGGGGCAUAUCGGUUUGGGUGGGGCCAAAGCAGGUCCAGAUUCAAUAAGCCUGAAUGAAGGGCCUGCUCCAGGCCGGGAAGUGGGUUAGUUCUAUUCUCACGUGUGGUUUUAUGUAAUACUUGUAAUAAAACUAUAGUGCAGGGAUCAUUAUGAUCUUCAUUUUAAAGAAGGAACUGGUCGGGUGUGGUGGCUCACGCUGAAAUCCCAGUGCUUUGGGAGGCUGAGGUGGGAGGAUUGCUUGAGCCCAGGAGUUCAAGAUCAGCCUGGGCAACAUAGCAAGACCCCAUCUCUACCAAAAAUAAAACAAUUAGCCAGGCACGGUGAUGUGUGCCUGUAGUCCCAGCUACUUGGGAGGCCAAGACAGGAGAAUUGCUUAAGUCAGGGAGGUUCUGGCUACAGUGAGCCAUGAUUGCACCACUGUACUGCAGCCUGGGCAACAGAGCAAGACCCUGAAAAACGAAAGAAAGAAAGAAGGAAAGAAAGAAAAAAGAAAGAAAGAAAGAGAGAGACAGAGAGAGGAGGGAAGGAAGGAAAAGAAAGGAAGAAAGAAAGAGAAAGAAAACAAAGAAAAAGAGAAAGAGAGAGAGGAAGGAAGGAAGGAGAGAGAGGAGGGAAGGAAGGAAGGGAAAUAAAGGAAGAAAGAAAGAAAGAAAGAAACAAAGAAAGAGAGAGAGGAAGGAAGGAAGGAAGGAAGGAAAAAAAAAGAAAAAGAAGAAGAAACUGAGCAUUAGAGAAGCUAAAAUUUCCUCAAGAUCCCAAAGUUCCCUUCUGUGUACAGAAAAGUUCCAGGCCCAAGAGAUCCUCUGAGGUGUGAAACUCUGUGUAUCCACCUGCCUCACCUCCUUCAGCCCUGCCUUGUACCUCACCAUAAGCCAAAGGAAACUGGGCCUUCUAUUUUCUAUUUUAAUAGGGACUCUCUCCAACAGCCAGCAGUGCAACCAACAGAAAAUCCCCCUCCAAAAAGCACUGACCUAGUGAGAGUCUUUACUAACAACUUCUUUCGGAAGACCUACAGCUGCAGAGGGCUGUCCUAAAAACCCACUUUUCACACCUCUCCCUUCAAAGCCCAAGUCCUUACGGGAGCCCCUCAUCUCAUUUCCUUGUCUCUCUUCAUUAAUCCUCAAAUGCCACUCCCUUGCCCCCUCUUCUCCCUGAAGCCCACCUCCUCUCCUUCCGCAGGUGGAGACAUGCAGCCAGCCCUGGCUUUCCAACCUUGUCCCCUCCACCCCUUGCCCAGGUCAGCAUGGCAAAGGCCAGCACGGAGGGUGGCCAGAAGAUUGUAGAUAUUGAUGUUAAUGUUUUAAAAAUCUCAUGCACACUACACUCUUGCAAAGCCGAGCUGGUUAUCUGUUUCCUGCAUAGGUGGCUGGGCUCCUGUGUGGGCCACUCAGGGUUUCUCCUCCAGGCCUUUCUCUGACUGUCAUCUCUGUUCUCUGCUACCUCCCGCUCCUCCUCAGGCCCCAAGACUCUCCUCAGGCACUCAGGGAAGCCUUCCAUGGCUUAAGGGCCCCUCACCUGGGUGAUGGUCAGGGACCCCUUCUCUGGGCUCCUACAUGCCUCUGAUUCCAGCUCUAUUUUUUUUUUUUUUUUUUUUUUUUUGAGAAGGAGCUUCGAUCCCUUUGCCCAGCCUGGAGUGCAGUGGCGCGAUCUCAGCUCACUGCAACCUCUGCCUCCCAGGUUCAAGCAAUUCUCCCGCCUCAGCCUGCUGAGUAGCUGGGAUUACAGAUGCCCGCCACCAUGCCUGGCUAAUUUUUAUAUUUUAAGUAGAG